UCGUGUGGUACUCUACUCAAGAGGGGGCAAUCAUGUGUAAUUAGUUAUGAUUGACACCUCUGUGAGUGGAGUAACACAUGA
rfam:Callithrix jacchus chromosome X, whole genome shotgun sequence